rnacentral:rRNA from 1 species
UACGUAGGGUGCGAGCGUUGUCCGGAAUUAUUGGGCGUAAAGAGCUUGUAGGCGGUUUGUCGCGUCUGCUGUGAAAAUCCGGGGCUCAACCCCGGACUUGCAGUGGGUACGGGCAGACUAGAGUGUGGUAGGGGGAGACUGGAAUUCCUGGUGUAGCGGUGGAAUGCGCAGAUAUCGGGAAGAACACCCGUGGCGAAGGCGGCUCUCUGGGACGGUACUGACGCUGAGACGGCGAAAAGCGUGGGGGAGCGAACAGGG